rnacentral:rRNA from 1 species
CCAAUAGCGUAUAUUAAAGUUGUUGCAGUUAAAAAGCUCGUAGUUGAAUUUCGGGAUCAAAUUGUCGGUCGUGCCUCGGUACGCACUGGUAUUAUUGGUUCCUACCUUCUGAAGAACCGCGAUGUCAUUAAUUUGGUGUCGUGGGGAAUCAGGACUGUUACUUUGAAAAAAUUAGAGUGUUUAAAGCAGGCUUACGCUUGAAUACAUUAGCAUGGAAUAAUGAAAUAGGACGUUUGAUUCUAUUUUGUUGGUUUCUAGGAUCGACGUAAUGAUUAAUAGGGAUAGUUGGGGGCAUUAGUAUUCAAUUGUCAGAGGUGAAAUUCUUGGAUUUAUUGAAGACUAACUACUGCGAAAGCAUUUGCCAAGGAUGUUUUCAUUAAUCAAGAACGAAAGUUAGGGGAUCGAAGACGAUCAGAUACCGUCGUAGUCUUAACCAUAAACUAUGCCGACUAGGGAUCGGAUGAUGUUAAUUUUUUAAUGACUCAUUCGGCGCCUUACA